rnacentral:rRNA from 1 species
AGAGUUUGAUCCUGGCUCAGGAUUAACGCUGGCGGCGUGCAUAACACCAUGCAAGUCGAACGAUGAAACUUUAAUGAACCCUUCGGGGAGAAUUAAAGCGGAUUAGUGGCGAACGGGUGAGUAACGCGUGAGUAACCUGCCUUACACAAGGGGAUAGCCUUUGGAAACGAAGAAUAAUACCCUAUAAAACCAUAAAAGCACAUGCAAUUAUGGUCAAAGUAUUAGCGGUGUAAGAUGGACUUGCGUCUGAUUAGCUAGUUGGUGAGAUAAAAGCCCACCAAGGCAACGAUCAGUAGCCGGCUUGAGAGAGUGUACGGCCACAUUGGGACUGAGACACGGCCCAGACUCCUACGGGAGGCAGCAGUGGGGAAUUUUGCACAAUGGGGGAAACCCUGAUGCAGCGACGCCGCGUGAUUUAGAAGGCCUUCGGGUUGUAAAAAUCUUUUGUAUAGGAAGAAAAUGACAGUACUAUACGAAUAAGGUCCGGCUAAUUACGUGCCAGCAGCCGCGGUAAUACGUAAGGACCGAGCGUUGUCCGGAAUCAUUGGGCGUAAAGGGUACGUAGGCGGCUAGAAAAGUUAAAAGUCAAAGGCUAUAGCUCAACUAUAGUAAGCUUCUAAAACUAUUUAGCUUGAGAGAUGGAAGGGAAAGUGGAAUUCCUAGUGUAGCGGUGGAAUGCGCAGAUAUUAGGAGGAAUACCGGUGGCGAAGGCGACUUUCUGGCCAUUUUCUGACGCUGAGGUACGAAAGCGUGGGUAGCAAACAGGAUUAGAUACCCUGGUAGUCCACGCCGUAAACGAUGAGUGUUAGGUGUCUGGAGUCAAAUCUGGGUGCCGCAGCAAACGCAUUAAACACUCCGCCUGGGGAGUACGCACGCAAGUGUGAAACUCAAAGGAAUUGACGG